rnacentral:lncRNA from 1 species
AGGGCCACACUCAUGGCAUAUGGAAGUUCCCAGGCUAGGGGUUGAAUAGUAGCUACAGCUGCUGGCCUACCUCACAGCCACAGCAACACUGGAUCUGAGCCAUAUCUGUGACCUACACCACAGCUCAUGGCAAUGCCGGAUCCCUGACCCACUAAGUGAAGCCAGGAAUCAAACCCACAUCCUCAUAGAUACUAGUCAGAUUCAUUUCCACUGCACUGCAUGGGACUGCCAGGUUCACUUUUUAGAAAGUCUGGGUUCACAAAGGCAAUGUAAGAUGUUAACCAAGCAGUUAAUUUGCUCUGGCAGGUUAACUGUCUGUAAAUACUUGAAAGCAGGAUUUGCCUCAGAUAAUUCCAUGAAGCAGACAAUUUGCCCAAGGAGUCUGAGUUGACUACGCAAAUAAUAUCCCAGGACAAAUACAGUCCCUACCACAGAGUUAGCAAGGGUGAAAAAAAGAAACAAUAUAUUAUGCCAGUCUCUGAAACUUUCUAUAACUGAUCUGUAGAGUUUUAUCAACUCUUUAGUAUAUAAAAUAGAUGUUGAUAUAAAGAUAAUAAUUGCUUGGAAAACUUUACUCCCCAAGACAGCUUGCUAGUGAGCAAAUUGUCCAUACAUAGUUCAACCUAGAGAAGGAAAUUUCCUUUAGUGAUUAAUAUUUCUCAGUUUCAUGUGCAUUAUAUUCAUGAUAUACUCUGACAAUUUGGUGAAUUUUGAGGAAGAAAUGUGUCAUAGAUAAUCUGGCUCAUAAAAAAAUCAUCAUCACAAGAAUCACAAUUAAAAAGAAGCAAUAGAUUACUAGGAAAAAUAAUUUAGUUGUACAGUGCCUUUAUUUUUCUGCAUUAUCGCUCAUGCUUGGGUCCAAAGCUAUUCCUGCCUAUUAAUAAUAUGGAUAUCCUUGGAGUUCCCAUCAUGGCUCAGCAGUAAUGAACCCCACUAGUAACCAUGAGGAUGAGGGAUCAAUCCCUGACCCUGUUCAGUGGGUUAAGGAUCUGACAUUGCCAAGGAUGUGAUGUAGGUCACAGACGCUGCUGGGAUCCCGAAUUGCCGUGGCAAUGGUGUAGGCUGGCAGCUGUAGCUCCGAUUUGACCCCCUGGCCUGGGAACUUACAUGUGCCAUGGUGUGCCCCCGCCGCCCCCAAAAUAAUAAUAUGUAUAUCCUUCUUUCCUGAAACCACAGAAAUUGAGUUUAAAUUCCUUAAAAUGUGGAACAAAUUAUUCUAUCAGUCUUAAAAUUUUUGAUUGAUUUACUUAUUUCCCACAUCAUAUCUACUCCAUCACCUCUUGCUCACCUCUUCAACCACUUAAUUUGAGAUGUUUUACCUCUCCCUGAUCAGAAAGGAAAAUGCAGAAAGUAACCAGGCAUUCCUUUUCAACUUUUGAGGAAAGCCUGACUUUGUGUAGCUCUAUGAUACGUUAUAUAAUACCAAACUAUUCUUCAACUCAGUGACAGAAACAUCAGUAAAAUUGAUCUUUUUUGUUCAACUAAAUCUUUUAGUUAAAAAUAUCAAUAUUCAAGUAGCAUGCAAACACAGCUUAGAACUGGGAAGAUGUUAAACCUCUGCCUGAUGCCAAGAAAUUACACAGAGAAGCAGCAUCAUGAUACUCAGCCUAAUUUUUGGAGGUUACCCAGGACUGACUCAAUUUUAUUGCUGGUUUCACUUCUGUGAAUAAUUCAGUAAUCCUUUAAUUGUCCAGUGAUUUUGAUUCAUUUUCACAAAAUUUUGAAGUUCUCCUUCAAAAUAAUUUUUUGAUGUUGACUUAUACAAAAAUCAAUGGAACAUCUAUACUAUAAUAUUCUGGGAUAUGUAAAAAUGGUGAUGACAUAUUUCAGCUGUUUUUUUCUUUUCAGAAAUGAGGUUUUUCUAAGCUAGAAUAUAAAUGAUGUAGUUGAUAUAUAUUUAAAAAAGUUUAAAUGUGUUUUUUAAUGAGGCAUUUCUGUAUUUCCCAAGGCAAUUUGAGAUAAUCACUGUGUACAAUCUUUUAAAACAAUUUUCCACAUUUAUUUUUAAUUAAACUUGAGUAGGUUGCAAAAUCUCUCUAUUUACCUUCAAAUGAACAUUAUCGAAUUCCGCUUUCCCUCCCUCACUGUUCCCCCACCUACUCCCGGCUGAACGAUAAGGUGAACAAGAUUACCAUCCUUUAAAAAAAAAUUAAUCAAUUUUACAUUGAGCUAAAAUUCAUAUAUACUAUAUAUUGGUAUAUAUAAUAUAUAUGUUAUAUUAAUUUAAUGUACACAAUAAUUUGAUCUUUGUGUACACAAGUCUAGUUACCAUCCAUCACCAUAAAAUUAACCCAUUCUGUUUAUCCCCUAAAUCUUUCUCUUCUGAUAACCAUCAGGGUUUUUGUUUGCUUUGUUUAUUUCGAUUCUACAUAAAAGUGAAAUCAUAUGGUAUUUGUUUUUCACUGUCUGACUUAUGAUAUUCAUGAUAUCCAUGUUAUCAAAAAUGGCAAGAUUUCCUUUUUUAUGGAUGAUUGAGAUUCCACUGUGUGUGUGUAUACCACAUCUUUAUCCAUACAUCCAUUGAUGAACAUUUAAGUUGUUUCCAUAUCUUGGCUAAAGUAAUUAAUGCUGCAAUGAACAUUCAGGUGCAUGUAUCUUUUUAAAUUAGUAUUUUUGUUUUCUUUGGAUAAAUACACAGAAUUUGUAUAGCUGGAUUAUAUGGUAGUUCUAUAAUUUGAGGCAAAAUUUCAUGCUGUUUUCCAUAGUGACUAUGCCAGUUCGUAUUAUCAUUAACAGUGUAUGAGGCUUCUAUUUUCUCCACAUCCUCUCCAACCUGUGUUAUUUCUUGUCUGUUUGAUAAUAGCCAUUCUAAUAAGUGUGAGGUGGUUUUGACUUGCAUUUAUUUCCCUAAUGCUUACUGAUGUUGAAUGACUUUAUAUGGGCCUGUUGGCAGUCUGUCCUCUUAUUGGAUAUAAUUGCAAAUAUUUUGUCCCUUUCAGUGGGUAGCCUUUUUUUGUUGUUGCUGAUGAUGGUUCCUUUGCUGUGCAGAAUCUCUUUAAUUUGAUGUAGUCCCACUUGUGUCUUCUUCAGUUUCUUUUACAUUGUUGUUUUCAGUGUACAGAUCAUUCACUUAUUUGGUUAAAUUUAUUCUAGGUAUCUUACGCUGUUGAAACAAUUAUAAAUGGAAUUGUUUUCUUAAUUUCUUUUUCUGAUAUUUUAUUAUUAGUGUGUAAAAAUACAACAGACUUUUGCAUACUUAUUUUGUAUCCUGCAACUUUACUGAAUUUAUUUUUGAAUUCUAACAGUUUGGGUUUUGUUUUGUAGAAUAUUCAGGAUACUCUAUAUAUAGGUCAUGUCAUCUGAAAAUAGUGUCAGUUUUACUUCUUUCUUUCCAACUGGGAUGUCUUUUGUUUAUUUUUGCUUAAUUACUGUGGUUAGAACUCCCAUUACUAUGUCGAAUAAAAGUGUCAAGUUUUGUUUCUUGUUCCUGAUUUUAAGAGAAAAACCUUUCAGCUUUUCAUCGAGUAUAAUGUUAGCUAUGGGUUUGUCAUAUGUGGCCUUUAUUGUGUACAGGUAUAUUCCCUCUAUACCCACUCUUAAUCUCUUCUUCCAUCUGAAUGAUAAUCUUGUGGGGUAGAGUACUUUUGUUGGGAGUUUUGUUUUGGUUUGGUUUCCUAGGUUUUGUUUGUUUGUUUCUUUUCAGUAUUUUGAGUAUAUCAUUUCACACUCUUCUGGCUUGAAACGUUUCUUCUGAAAAUCAGCUGGUAGUCUUAUGGAGGUACACUUAUAUGUAACAAGGUUUAUAAGAUUCUCUCUUUUCUUACACUUUUGACAUUUUAAUUAUAAUGUGUCUCGAUGUGGAUCUCAUACGGUUUACCUACUUGGAACUCUGUUGAACGUGGAUGUCUUUUCCUUCUCCAGAUUAGGAAAGUUUCCAGACACUGUUUUAUUCAAAGAAUUUUUUUUUGCCUCUUUCUCUCUUCCUUCUCUUCUGUGAUCCCAAUAAUGUGGACGCUAUUCCACUUGAUCUCCCACCAUUUUCCUUAAGAUAUCUUCACUGUUUUGGUGAUUUCUUCUGCUUUGUCUUCCAGGUUGCUGAUUCAGUCUUUUACUUCUUUUCAUACACUGUUUAACAAUAUAUUGUAUUUUUCAGUUCAGCUGUUGUAUUCUUCAGCUCUGCGAUCUGUUUGGCAGCUUCUCAUACUUUAUGCCUCUCUGUUGAAGUUCUUGCUCUUUUCAGUAAUUCUUCUCCUGAGUUUAGUGAGAAUUUUUAUCACUAUUUUGAACUUUUUAUUAUGUAAGCAGAUUGCUUAUCUCUUUUUCAUUGAGGGUUUUUCUGCUGUUUUAUCUUAUUAUUUCAUUUGGAACAUAUUUUUCUGUCUCCUCCUUUUCUUUGACUCUUUUUUGACGCAUUAGGUGAAACAGUUACUUCUUCCAGUCUUGAAGGAGUAGCCUCGUGUAGGAGAUGAACUGCGAUGCUCAGAAAUGCUAACCUCCUUGUCUGCCAGAGCCAGGGGUUCAAAAGAUAUACCCUAUGUGAACUGUGGGUGACAGCCUGCCAAGGCAGGGUCGUGGCUGCGGUGCAGAGGGUGGAAAGCUGCCAGUGCCAAUGGUAGGUUAGAGGGAGAGGGCCAAAAUGGUGCCUGCCAAUGCCAGAAGUAGCAAGACUGAAACAGAACUCAAAGAUGGUACCCACCAGUGCCUCCAUCCUAUAAUGAGUCCCAGCUUAUUCCUGCCUCUCUGGCAGAAGUCCCAAGGUAGCAAGUGAAUCUCCUAUACAUAUGGUCUGCAUACCUUCAAACUGCCCUUCCUGUAAGAAUGUGCCAGAGCAAGUGAGUCUGCAUGUGAGCCCUUUAAUUGUUGGUUUAAGGCUUGUUAAUCAUUCUUGUGGAUUAUACUAUUUCAGUGAAGUAGAAGUAAAAGCUAAUUUUACAGGUGAAAUAAAUGGUAGAGAAAAAAUUUAAAAUUGAUGCCAAGAGUUUGAAAACACAAAGUAUGAGGACAUUAGAUUUUACCAUGAUCUAUUCCUGUAAUUUCUGUGGCUGUGGUUGUAACUCUUCCUGUUUCUCUGCUAGAAAUUACUGCUCCAAUUAGUUUAACCCUUUGAGACUAAACUGUAUGAUUUUCUUAAGCUCUCUAAUGGUUCAGGAGAAACUAGGGGAAGAAAACACAGCUCCAGAGUUUGCUGCCCAUUUCAUAGCCCAGAAAAUAUCACUGGCUUUCCCCUCGCAUUGUGAAACAAAAGGUAACAUAUCAACUUUUGCCUCUUGGGUAAUUGAUGUAUAAUAAAGGCAGAGAAGAACUGAUGUGACUGACCAGGAGCACCCUUUGUGCUUUAGGACAUGAAUUGAGACAAUUAAUCUGAUUUUUCUACAAACAACAAGGGUUCCACUUUACACUCAGAGACGUUUUUAUCUAAACCUUUCCAAGCGCACCACUCCAAGGAAAUGGCUCAUAAUGAUUUCCUUAUUAUCACUCCUGUCCAGAGCAGAUCUGAGUCAUGAUCAAAGAGAAAGUAG